AAAAACCGAAUUGCCUCAGUAAACGGCGAGUGAAGCGGCAAAAGCUCAAAUUUGAAACCCUCGGGAUUGUAAUUUGAAGAUUUGGCAUUGGAGAAAGCUAACCCAAGUUGCUUGGAAUAGUACGUCAUAGAGGGUGACAACCCCGUCUGGCUAACCGUUCUCCAUGUAUUGCCUUAUCAAAGAGUCGAGUUGUUUGGGAAUGCAGCUCAAAGUGGGUGGUAAACUCCAUCUAAAGCUAAAUACUGGUGAGAGACCGAUAGCGAACAAGUACUGUGAAGGAAAGGUGAAAAGAACUUUGAAAAGAGAGUGAAAUAGUAUGUGAAAUUGUUGAUAGGGAAGGAAAUGAGUGGAGAGUGGCCGAGGUUUCAGCCGCCCCUCGUGGGCGGUGUACUGCCGACGCCGAGUCAUCGAUAGCGAGACGAGGGUUACAAAUGGGAGCGCCUUUCGGGCGUUCUCCCCUAACCCUCCACACUGCCACCGACGACAUAAUCCACCCAUUUCACCCGUCUUGAACAACGGACCA
rnacentral:rRNA from 1 species